CCGGAGUGGACGAACCUCUGGUGUUCGGGUUGUGUCGCCAGACGCAUUGCCCGGUAGCUAAGUUCGGAAUUGAUAAGCGCUGAAAGCAUCUAAGCGCGAAGCGAGCCCUGAGAUGAGUCUUCCCUGACAGUUUAACUGUCCUAAAGGGUUGUUCGAGACUAGAACGUUGAUAGGCAGGGUGUGUAAGCGUUGUGAGGCGUUGAGCUAACCUGUACUAAUUGCCCGUGAGGCUUAACCAUACAACACCCAAGGGGUUUUGUA
rnacentral:rRNA from 1 species